UGAGCAAUCUGCCCAUCUCUUUGGAAUAAGCGUUGGAAACGACGUCUAAUGCCGAAUACGACCUCCUUUCGCAUGAUCGGAGGUGGAAAGCUCCGGCGGAGAAGGAUGAGCUCGCGGCCUAUCAGCUAGUUGGUGUGGGUAAUGGCCCACCAAGGCGACGGACGGGUAGCCGGCCUGAGAGGGUGACCGGCCACACUGGGACUGAGACACGGCCCAGACUCCUACGGGAGCAG
rnacentral:rRNA from 1 species